rnacentral:misc_RNA from 1 species
UUUCCGUAGGUGAACCUGCGGAAGGAUCAUUAACGAGUUUUGACAUGACUUCUAUCUGUCCUUCCGCUGCAUGUCCACGCCCUGCUCAUCCACUCUACACCUGUGCACUUACUUUGGGAUAUCCGGUGCGUCGCUGUGCGGCGGCGUCCCUCUGCCCACGAUUUCUUUACAAACUAUUUAUGUAACAGAAUGUUGAUUUAUCUAACGCUUCUAUAAUACAACUUUCAGCAACGGCACUCCUGGCGCUCGCAGCGAUGAAGAACGCCACAGGUCUGAACA